AUUGAACGCUGGCGGCAGGCCUAACACAUGCAAGUCGAGCGGAUGAAGGGAGCUUGCUCCUGGAUGCAGCGGCGGACGGGUGAGUAAUGCCUAGGAAUUUGCCUGGUAGUGGGGGAUAACGUCCGGAAACGGGGGCUAAUACCGCAUACGUCCUGAGGGUGAAAGUGGGGGAUCUUCGGACCUCACGCUAUCAGAUGAGCCUAGGUCGGAUUAGCUAGUUGGUGGGGUAAAGGCCUACCAAGGCGACGAUCCGAAACUGGUCUGAGUGGAUGAUCAGUCACACUGGAACUGAGACACGGUCCAGACUCCUACGGGAGGCAGCAGUGGGGAAUAUUGGACAAUGGUCGAAAGCCUGAUCCAGCCGUGCCGCGUGUGUGAAGAAGGUCUUCGGAUUGUAAAGCACUUUAAGUUGGGAGGAAGGGCAGUAAGUUAAUACCUUGCUGUUUUGACGUUACCAACAGAAUAAGCACCGGCUAACUUCGUG
rnacentral:rRNA from 1 species